UGAGCUCAGCCUUAGUGACCAUUGUGUUCUUGGCCACCUGUUUUACCAAGGCCCUUCUCCCCUUAUUAUUUAGUUUGGUGGGAUGGCCAGCUCUAGGAAAAGUCCUGGACUCCUAGUUAUUCCAAACAUCCUCCAUAUAAAAAUUACAGAGGCCACUGUGCACUUUCACCACAGCAGAUUUUUGUUUUGAUCCUUUUGUCAGAUCUGAGCCUUCUGUCUCUGAGCUGUACAGGCAGUUCUUUCCAGCACAUGACUUGGUUUUUGAUCUGAUAUGCAUUAUCAGCUGUUAGACCUUAUAUAGACAGGACUGUUUCUUUCCAAAUCCUUUCUAAUCAUCUGAUUUUGCCACAGGUGACCACAACCAAGGUGUAGAAACAUCUCAGAGGUGAUCACGAGAAAAGGGAGGAACCGGGGCUAAAUUUCAAGUAUAAGAGCAAAAUGUUUAUGCAACAUUAUUGUUCUUUUAAUAAAUGUUCAAGCAUUUCUACAAAUAUGUUUCACAUUGAGUAAAACAAUGUGGGGCGCAUCCUAUUGGACAUGCGCUCCACGCUGACACACACCGGAAACGAGCGCUAGUCUCCACUCCAGCGCACAUCUACCAAGUACGCCGGAGCGGAAGUCACCAUGCACUCCAAGUUGGAACGCAUGCGCUAGUGCGCUCCCGCACACAAUCUACGUCACUUCCAUCCAUCAUCUGUGCGCACAUCUGGCGCACUUUGGAAGAUAUUUAGACAGGACAUCGCUCACCAGGCACUUAUGCCGGCGCGUCCUGAUCAUCAAGGUCUGCAGGAGACCAAGUAAGUUCUUACCCUGUUCUUAAUAUGUAGGCUUAUUGUUGUACAUAUCCUUACAAUGGGCCCACUUCCAUCCAGGUUACCUCUCCCACGGCUGCCAUACCUACCGCAACUCUCCAUAGGUAGGCAUUUCAUUUUUUCCCCCUGGUUACCUGGCAUCUAUAUUGAGAUGUACGGGUCCCCCCUUUCUUACCACCUGUUUGUCUGUCUUCAUACCACAGGACCGGCACCCCAUCCACCAGGGCAUCUAUACACAUGGGAACUGUAACCAUCAUUACAGGUACCCACUAUAUGUAAUAUCAAGCAUUUGUCACUUGAGCUAUAUGUUUAUCUUAAACAAGAAAUAUUUAUAUCUUGACGGACUGUCUGCCUAAAAAGUGAUGAACACAUAUAUGCAAAUCCUCCCAAUGAGGGAAGAACUCUGAUACACAUCUUAUACCUCCAUGCUAUAUAUCCAGCUUUACACUAACGUGGGAGAAGAGAGAAAGGCACUUAUCUACUGUGUAUCUCUAACUUGAAUUUCCCUGAUGAAUUGUGCCACAGAGUAACAGGCAUAACGAAACGCAUUGUAUAUUAACUAAAUAUUUGUGUAAAUCAAUUGGAUGCUAAUUAAUUAUAUAUAUCAAUUGGUUGUUAUUUGUAUACUAAUUGUACUGUAUACACCUGACUCACGCGGUGAUAUCUGGAGGUACUGUCUAACAGAUAUCUGCCAUAUAC